CACGCGUGGGUUGCAUGUUUGUUCAACCGAGGCGUCUUCAAGGGUAGCAUCUUCUCCACCACUGAUAGCAAGUCCGAGUUGAAGUAGACCUGCUCAAAUCCGACGGGGUUUCUUUUUUCCGUAAGUAUUUGAACGCAACGAUGGAAUCUCGACGUAUCCAUCCUGCGUGAUGACGCGCUGACGUCCUGUGUGGGAUCUGCAGCGAGCCGUCCCAAAGCAGGAAAGCAGGGGUCGGAACAAAGCAUUCAGAUGCUGUCUGGAAAAGAAAAGUUUCUUCUGCUGUGAUUGUUUAACCUUAUUU